AAGUCGAGCGGACACUUGGAGCUUGCUCCAAGCGUUUAGCGGCGGACGGGUGAGUAACACGUGGGCAACCUGCCCUGCAGAUCGGGAUAACUCCGGGAAACCGGUGCUAAUACCGAAUAGUUUUUUGCCCCUCCUGGGGCUAAACGGAAAGACGGUUUCGGCUGUCACUGCAGGAUGGGCCCGCGGCGCAUUAGCUAGUUGGUGGGGUAACGGCCCACCAAGGCGACGAUGCGUAGCCGACCUGAGAGGGUGAUCGGCCACACUGGGACUGAGACACGGCCCAGACUCCUACGGGAGGCAGCAGUAGGGAAUCUUCCGCAAUGGACGCAAGUCUGACGGAGCAACGCCGCGUGAGUGACGAAGGUUUUCGGAUCGUAAAACUCUGUUGUGAGGGAAGAACAAGUACCACUUAACUACUGGUACCUUGACGGUACCUCACCAGAAAGCCACGGCUAACUACGUGCCAGCAGCCGCGGUAAUACGUAGGUGGCAAGCGUUGUCCGGAAUUAUUGGGCGUAAAGCGCGCGCAGGCGGUCCCUUAAGUCUGAUGUGAAAGCCCACGGCUCAACCGUGGAGGGUCAUUGGAAACUGGGGGACUUGAGUGCAGAAG
rnacentral:rRNA from 1 species